rnacentral:sRNA from 1 species
ACAGACUAGCCAAGUGGCUGAGACGAGUGUGGGGUGCGUGACUCUGCCUGCGCGCGCGCCAGCCCCGCAGCUCUCGCCAGAGCCUUGGGAUCAAGGGAGAAAGAGAACCGGCAGCUGGCCUCGGACUCUAAGCGGUGCGCAGCUCCAGCCCGAGCGGAUCGGCCCUGAACCCACAAAGGACUCCUCGCUCCUUCAAGCCUCCACCACCUCGCAGCCGGGGAGGCAACUGGAGCGAAACCAGCGACAGAUGCAGCCAUGGACAAGACAAGGAGAGCUUCGUCCCUCCCGCCCCUCAGGUUCCUUCCUGCUGGGGUCUGACCGCGUCUUCUGUGCGUGUGGGAUGGAGGCCCGGCUCGCCCGGGCUCCGAGCUGUCCCCCGGCUCCGCUUUCGGAGCAGCCCUUGGGCGCUGGAGAGGUUUCCCAUUGUGGUCUCCAGGUCAUGGCCAAGGAGGAGAAGCAAUUAGAAUGGGGGAAAGGGUCCCAAGACAAAGGAGAGGGAAGCAUUCUGCAAUCCCAUCCUAUUUGAGCCCCGCGCAGGAGCUGGACUGUCCGCCGUGGCUGGGGGACAAGGUCUCAGCCCGAAGCUCAUGAGGUACCAGACAGUGCCUGGGCUUCGCCACCUAACUCACAAUGGGUCCUGAACCGCCCCGGCAGUCCCCGGGGUCGUAGACUGGGGACCGCUGCACCCCUCCCCGCCCGCAAUGUCCCUUGGAGUCCGCACCUGAGGUCCCAGGCAAUCGCCGCUAACUUGUAGCUCUCGGACCCGGACAGGUGCGGUCCAUGCCUGGUGCCGGUAGACGCGCAGAAAUUCCACCUGUGCGCGCUGCCCGGCGCCCCUGGGGCCCCUCGCGGGGUAAGCAGAGACUCGUCUGGGAGAGGUGAAAAUUCCCCAGAAUUAUUGACACACACGGCGGCACACCCUUUGCCUCCGUCCGCCUCCAGCAUCCGCAUCCCUUUCUCUAUCUUCCUGCCCAUUGCCGUCCUCGAGGCUGCCCUGAGACACAGAAUUGUCCCAGGCUGAGUCCACCGACCCGCCAGUCCCUGGCGAUGAUGCCAAGGCUCUUGCAUGUACGGAAAUACCAGCAGGGAGGUUCGCCAGGGGCAGAGAGGCUGGAGGAGAACAGAGAAUUGGAGGUAAACGCGUAAAGCCAGCAGAACUGUCGGUGGACAUUUCACCCAGGCCGCCCUCCCGCGUCUUUAAGUCAGUUCACCGCCACAGCACGUCUGUGACUGCGGCCACCCAGGGCUCCAAGUCUGCCAGCCCAGGCGCCGCGAGCCAAGAAGAGCGCGGCGCCUCCCACUCCUCAAGCUCCGGAAUCCCCCACAUCGACUUUCUAUUUCCCUGUCUUCUUUUCUUUUUUGUUUGUUUUGCUUUUCCUGCUCUUUUCUUAGCGCUGGGUGGCAGUGGGUAUGUGGCAGCCGUGUGAUUUGCCCAUCCCCUAGUACACGCAGCCAGCGACACAAGCACACAGCGACCAGUCCCCACGCUGUGCCACACACCCUCCAGCGGUCCGGCGCGCAGCCCCUGCUCCACAGCCCGGGACGCCUGCAGCCACCGCCAGGGUCAUGGCCAUGGCCCACGCAGGGCUCUGCGGGUGGAGAGGGGAAGUCAGCCUAGACUCCAGAGAGAAACCCUGGGGCAACCCGAAAGGCCUGAGGAAAACUGGAAUUGGGGUUAGGCAUGAGGGGAGGGAGGCUCUGGGGAAAACGGGCCGGGCUGUGCGGAGCCCUGAGGGCUCCUGCGGCUGCAGCGCUGCAGGCCGCCCGCGUCUCGCCCCGCCCCGCCGCUGGGCGUCCCCGCCAGGAGCCCACCCGCGGGCGGCAGCUUUUCUCCAUGCUGCCCAGGGAAGUUCGAUGCCUGGUGCUGGGAUGCGCCAGCGCUUCUGUUCGCUUCUGGCAAUCCUGGCGUCUCCCAAUGAGAGGGCUCUCAAAAUGAAGCUUUUAAUAAACUCCAGAGUAAGGAACUCGGGACUGUGCGGCAAAGGCCGCGCAUUGCACUUUGUGAGCAAUCGGUAAAUAUGCGCAACCAUAUGAUAGGAAAUAUAUGCAUUUUCACUGAUAAGACAAAAAGAGAUGAUGGUAUUUUUAAACAGAAGCCACAAACAGGCAUACCUGUGCCAUUGUUGGGGAGCUAAUAAUAAAGGCACUGAUGAUCACAGAAGUAAGAACAAUUGACUUGGCCAAGAGACAAUUUUAAGCUGGGAACUGUAUUCGGCUGCAGUUCAGAAAGUGGACUUUUGAGACUUGUCAAACGAAUGGAAGAAUUUUGUGCCAACAAUGUCCCAGCUUUGCAGGCUUGGCAGCUGAGGACUCAGAAGUAAUAAAUUAAUGCCAGGUGAAUUAUUCUUGUUACUACUAUUAUCAAUAAUGUGUUCCAGUUGCAGCAAUACAAUAGAUAAGCAACUUC